rnacentral:rRNA from 1 species
UAGGGAAUAUUGGACAAUGGGGGCAACCCUGAUCCAGCCAUGCCGCGUGAGUGAAGAAGGCCCUCGGGUUGUAAAGCUCUUUUGUCCGGAAAGAAAAGCAUUCGGUGAAUACCCGGAUGUUCUGACGGUACCGGAAGAAUAAGCACCGGCUAACUUCGUGCCAGCAGCCGCGGUAAUACGAAGGGUGCAAGCGUUACUCGGAAUUACUGGGCGUAAAGCGUGCGUAGGUGGUUGUUUAAGUCUGAUGUGAAAGCCCUGGGCUCAACCUGGGAAUGGCAUUGGAAACUGGGCAGCUAGAGUGCGGUAGAGGGUAGUGGAAUUCCCGGUGUAGGAGUGAAAUGCGUAGAGAUCGGGAGGAACAUCUGUGGCGAAGGCGACUGCCUGGACCAGCACUGACACUGAGGCACGAAAGCGUGGGGAGCAAACA